rnacentral:rRNA from 1 species
GAUGAACGCUGGCGGCGUGCUUAACACAUGCAAGUCGAACGAAGCAUUUAGAACGGAUUACUUCGGUUUGAAGUUCUUUAUGACUGAGUGGCGGACGGGUGAGUAACGCGUGGGUAACCUGACUUGUACUGGGGGAUAGCAGUUGGAAACGGUUGGUAAUACCGCAUAAGAGCACAAUGUUGCAUGACAUGGUGUGGAAAACGCCGGUGGUAUAAGAUGGACCCGCGUCUGAUUAGCUAGUUGGUGAGAUAACAGCCCACCAAGGCGACGAUCAGUAGACGACCUGAGAGGGUGACCGGCCACAUUGGGACUGAGACACGGCCCAGACUCCUACGGGAGGCAGCAGUGGGGAAUAUUGCACAAUGGAGGAAACUCUGAUGCAGCGACGCCGCGUGAGUGAAGAAGUAAUUCGUUAUGUAAAGCUCUAUCAGCAGGGAAGAUAGUGACGGUACCUGACUAAGAAGCUCCGGCUAAAUACGUGCCAGCAGCCGCCGUAA